rnacentral:misc_RNA from 1 species
CUGCGUGGAUCAUUCAAGCCCCCCCACCUCCCCGGACCACCAUCAACUUGUCUUGGCACGUGUGUGUGUGUGUGUGGGUGCCUGCGUGCUGGAGGGUUUCAGCAGACAUCAUCAACGGCGACUACCUCACCUACGCAUUUACCUAACCCCCUCUCAGUCCUUCCCACUCCACUGCGUCACGAGCCAGUGUGGGUGAGCCAUCCGUACAAGCCGCCACCCCUCUUUUUUUUCUUACGGCAGUGAUAGAGACGAUGCUUGGACGCCGUGUUUUUGGCAGCACGGCCAUCCCGCGCUGCAUGUACACGCGGCUGCACAUCAGCUCGCCGGCGCAGGCGGCUCGCAUGCUACCCGUGCUUGUGCCGCUGACGCCGUCACUGUCGAAUUCUAUCGGCGGUAUGAUGAACGCUGUCGCGCAGGGCUCGCUAGAGUCGAUGCCAACGUUAGAAGUUGGAGAGCAGGACCCUGCGUCGCUCAAGGCCCUUCUGGAGAGUAUUUCUCCGCUGCAGCUGGGGGUUUCACGAUUGUUCGAAUUAUGGGGCAUUUUCCGUGUAAACGUGAUGGUAAACACGAUAUUGGGAAGGUCAGCUGCGAUGCUUCACUGCUGCUGCUGCUGAUGGUGCCACGAUGUGUAUCUGUGCUUGAGAAGAACGCAGCAACAACAAAGGACAGCACUCGACGCGCGCGCUUAUGUAGGUGCGACUACGCGAGGUGUCAGUGGGCUGAUCGGCUAUGGACGCAGCCGCUCUCUCUUCGUUUCUUCGGGUUUCGCUAUAUGUUAAACGCAUUGUCUUUCUGACGUCUCUAUCUUUCUCUCGUUCCGUUUUGCAUCCCUCUGCAUCCACCUGUCUGUCCCGUCCUGUCCCGUCCCGGUCCCGCCCCCUUUCUCUCCUUCUUCGCCCCUCCUGCGCUCUCUCUGUCGAUUCGGGGCUCGCUAACGCACGCCUCCGUGUGAUGUACCUUAUCAAGCGUUGCGAGGUGCGUCGGUGCCUGCUGCGACACAAGAGGGAGAGAGACGGAGACGAGAGGGAGGCCCGCUCCGCUCCAGCGGAUCUCCUGACUGACGGCGUACGAGUUAAUGCGCGCGUGUGUGUGCGCGCUGCAUCAGGAGGGAGGAAGACUAGAGGAAUCGUAGUCAAGAGAGAGAAGGGGGUGGGUGGUCGUGGCAGAUGGCAGGGUGUACGCGACUGAGAGUGGAGUUGACGUGAAUGAGGUCACAGAUUCAUCUUUCCUUUUAUCUUUUUUUUUGUUCUGUCUGUGUGUUGUGCUCUUUUCUGUGUUGGGUUCUUAGUUGAUGCUGCCCGUGUGUUUGCGUUCAUGUGUGUGCGUGUAUCUGUCUGCCUUGGUCAUUCAACUAACUCUGCCGUGCUUCUUUCGUGUGUAUGUAUGUGUGUGUGUGUGGUUCUCGCCUCUACUGAGGGUAACUGUCCGCCUCCUUUUUUGAGCUGAAGCAAUAACCUCAGAAGAGAGAAGCGCGAUGGAUGACAACAACAGCCGGGAUGGGUGGGAGAGGAAGAGGAGGUCCGAAAUGUGCUCUGACCCUGCCUACAUGAAGAGAUGCUAAGCGUUCCUUGGAAGUCUCUUUUCGAAGGCUUUGCUAGUGUGCUUGGCAGAGAACUACAGGGCUUCAGAAGAGGAGGGUGGAGGGUGGAGUGGGCUGCAUCAGCCGCGGCGGCCUUCCCUCACCUUUUUUCACAUUUUUCUUACUGUAAGCCCUGCACCCCUCACGCUUCUUCCCUUCCUCCAUCUCCACGGCGCCGUGUGCACCUGUGCCUGUUCCAAGCGAACAACUGACGGAAUUGGGAAGUGCAUGUGCGCUUGUGUGUGCAUGUGCACAACCCGCGCAUGUACCUCUCUGUAUGCCGACUCUCUAUCAUCCUUCCUCGUCACAUUCUUCGUCUUUGUGUGUUGUUGUCUUCUCCAUCACCGCUCCCCCUCCCUCCUCUCACUCUCUCGGUUUCCGCCGUGGUAG